UGAAAUCUCGAAGCUCAACUUCGAAACUGCGUCUGAAACUGCUAGUCUAGAGUGUCGGAAAAGGAAGGGGAAUUUCACGUGUAGGGGUAAAAUCCGUAGAAAUGUGAAGGAACACCGGGGGCGAAAACGCCUUCCUGGACGACUACUGACGCUGAGGCGCGAAAGCGUGGGGAGCAAACAGGAUUAGAUACCCUGGUAGUCCACGCCGUAAACGAUGAACACUAGUUAUUGGGGGUAUUGACUCCCUCAGUGACGCAGCUAACGCAUUAAG
rnacentral:rRNA from 1 species